rnacentral:rRNA from 1 species
AUUGAACGCUGGCGGCAUGCUUUACACAUGCAAGUCGAACGGUAACAGGUUAAGCUGACGAGUGGCGAACGGGUGAGUAAUGCAUCGGAACGUGCCCGGUCGUGGGGGAUAACGCAGCGAAAGCUGCGCUAAUACCGCAUACGAUCUGAGGAUGAAAGCGGGGGACCGUAAGGCCUCGCGCGAUCGGAGCGGCCGAUGUCAGAUUAGGUAGUUGGUGGGGUAAAGGCCCACCAAGCCAACGAUCUGUAGCUGGUCUGAGAGGACGACCAGCCACACUGGGACUGAGACACGGCCCAGGCUCCUACGGGAGGCAGCGGUGGGGAAUUUUGGACAAUGGGCGCAAGCCUGAUCCAGCAAUGCCGCGUGCAGGAAGAAGGCCUUCGGGUUGUAAACUGCUUUUGUCAGGGAAGAAAUCUUCUGGGUUAAUACCUCGGGAGGAUGACGGUACCUGAAGAAUAAGCACCGGCUAACUACGUGCCAGCAGCCGCAGUAA